rnacentral:tRNA from 1 species
GCGGAUAUGGCGGAACUGGCAGACGCGCACGGUUCAGGUCCGUGUGAAAGCAAUUUCAUGGAGGUUCGAGUCCUCUUAUCCGCACCA